GANAGCCACGGCUAACUACGUGCCAGCAGCCNCGGUAAUACGUAGGUGGCAAGCGUUAUCCNGNAUUAUUGGGCGUAAAGCGCGCGCAGGCGGUUUCUUAAGUCUGAUGUGAAAGCCCACGGCUCAACCGUGGAGGGUCAUUGGAAACUGGGGAACUNGAGUGCAGAAGAGAAAAGCGGAAUUCCACGUGUAGCGGUGAAAUGCGUAGAGAUGUGGAGGAACACCAGUGGCGAAGGCGGCUUUUUGGUCUGUAACUGACGCUGAGGCGCGAAAGCGUGGGGAGCAAACAGGAUUAGAUACCCUGGUAGUCCACGCCGUAANCGAUGAGUGCUAAGUGUUAGAGGGUUUCCGCCCUUUAGUGCUGCAGCUAACGCAUUAAGCACUCCGCCUGGGGAGUACGGUCGCAAGACUGAAACUCAAAGGAAUUGACGGGGGCCCGCACAAGCGGUGGAGCAUGUGGUUUANUUCGAAGCAACGCGAAGAACCUUACCAGGUCUUGACAUCCUCUGACAACUCUAGAGAUAGAGCGUUCCCCUUCGGGGGACAGAGUGNCAGGUGGUGCAUGGUUGUCGUCNGCUCGUGUCGUGAGAUGUUGGGUUAAGUCCCGCAACGAGCGCAACCCUUGAUCUUAGUUGCCAGCAUUUAGUUGGGCACUNUAAGGUGACUGCCGGUGACAAACCGGAGGANGGUGGGGAUGACGUCAAAUCAUCAUGCCCCUUA
rnacentral:rRNA from 1 species